rnacentral:rRNA from 1 species
AGGACGAACGCUGGCGGCGUGCCUAAUACAUGCAAGUCGAACGGUCUUUCUAUGGAAGCUUGCUUCCACUGAGAAGAUAGUGGCGAACGGGUGAGUAACACGUGGGUAACCUGCCCAUAAGAGGGGGAUAACAUCCGGAAACGGGUGCUAAUACCGCAUAGUUUUCUUGAUUGCAUGAUUGAGAAAGGAAAGACGGCCUUUGUGCUGUCGCUUAUGGAUGGACCCGCGGCGUAUUAGUUAGUUGGUGAGGUAACGGCUCACCAAGACGAUGAUACGUAGCCGACCUGAGAGGGUGAUCGGCCACAUUGGGACUGAGACACGGCCCAAACUCCUACGGGAGGCAGCAGUAGGGAAUCUUCCGCAAUGGACGAAAGUCUGACGGAGCAACGCCGCGUGAGUGAAGAAAGGUUUUCGGAUCGUAAAACUCUGUUGUCAGAGAAGAACAAGUUGGAGAGUAACUGCUCCAGCCUUGACGGUAUCUGACCAGAAAGCCACGGCUAACUACGUGCCAGCCGCUGC